AUUAGGGUAAAGUGAUCUUAGUCGCCCGUUUUGAUUCCCUUCUUUUCGAGCUAUGGUCUAACAAAAUUAACUACAAGUUUGUAUAUCUCUGUUCAAUCUAUGAUCUAGAAGAAGAGAUGGUAACAGUCAUUGAAGACGGUAAUGGAUCGAUUUGAAAGGGACGCGGUUCUUUAUGGAUACAGUAUGUCUGUAGAAUGGGAACAUCAUUCUCAUUGAUGGAUCGGUUGUCCUGACUUCUGGAUAACUGGAGAGACAAUGCAAAAAUGGUGAUUGAAAUGAGCUUGAAUGAUUCUUGGCUUCGUGAUACAGGGCCAGCACUUAUUGUUAAAGAAACCAAAUCCACGAGCAAUUCAGAGACUAAGGUUGCUGGGAUUGAUUGGGAAUUCAACAGUUAUGGGAUUAUGGAUGUUAAACGAGUUCCUAAAUUUAAAUACUCUAUCAUUCUUGAAGAUGAAGCAUUCAUGUCGAUGGAGAAGAUUGAAUCUGCCCUUCCUACAUUGUUGAGGCACAUUAUGUGACUAGAUGCAAAUGAAGAUGCUGUGAUUGGGGCCUUAAUGCAAAGCUUAAGGCAAUCGGAGAAUCUUGGUGCCCAACGAGCAUGAAUUGAAAGACAUGCUUAAAAAGAUGAAGAGAAAAGUGGACGAAGUAGAUCUUGUUGGUGUGCUUUAAGGAGGAUUCUUUUGAACUGUGAAGUGGAACUGAUAAAUUUUCUCUUGAAUGUUUCUCACUUUUUUUUGUCUUAAAUUGGUCAUUUUGUUAAAGCUGUUAAACAAUUUCGAUUUAUUUUUGUAGUAAAGAUCAAUGGCAAGUUAGAAAUCAGUUUAUUAAAACUUUGAAACUAAAUAUUUUAUAAUAUUCGAUGUUUGGUUUAUGUUUUA